rnacentral:rRNA from 1 species
UACGUAGGGUGCAAGCGUUUGUCCGGAAUCACUGGGCGUAAAGGGCGCGUAGGCGGCUCAUGAAGGCUGUGGUGAAAGUCCGGGGCUCAACCUCGGAUCGGCCGUGGCGACUCGUGGGCUGGAGCACUGUAGAGGCGGGUGGAAUUCCGGGUGUAGCGGUGGAAUGCGUAGAGAUCCGGAAGAACACCAGUGGCGAAGGCGGCCCGCUGGGCAGUGGCUGACGCUGAGGCGCGACAGCGUUGGGGAGCAAACAGG